GGCAUUGCUGGAAAAGUUAACAUAGCAAUCUGCAAUCAGCUGCUUUAUAUCCCAGUGAGAAUGAAGAAAUCAAGAAUGGAAUUAAUAUGGGCAGAGGUCGGGGAGUAGCGAGGAAGAUGACUAGAAGGGAGAGAAGGACAUUAAUAGGACUUCUCAGAAAGUCAUGGAAAAUGCAUAUUGGCUCAAAUAGUCUAAAAAAGCAUAGUGUCUUCUCAUAAUCUGUAGGGAAAAGCACAGAUUUCUUUUCACAAACAACUGCAAAGUGACUGAUUACCAUGCUGCAAGAGAGGCGGUGCAGGAGAGCAGGCAGUCCAGAAGAGGACACUUAACCAGAAUUAUCACCGUCUGUCCAACUGAUAGGCCCAUCGUGAGCUUGUUAUUACUCUUAGUUGCAAACAAGGUGAAGAGGAGGAUGCAAUGAGUCAAGCUAACAGUUUUGGAAAAGAUCAGUUCUGUCCUGCCUUGCAGCAACCUCCACAAGCACAGGUUUCCAUCUUAUUGUUAACGUCCUACUAGCAUUUAAUGAUCACCUGCUACAAAACUCACCCAGGACUUGGAUAAUGAUGAAUAACUAGAAAGUAUGCCUAAAUGUUUCCUAAAUAUCUGGGCUGCUACACAACAAAGCUAUUUCAUUACCUCUGAAAGUAGAAA
rnacentral:lncRNA from 1 species